CCUCUAACAUAACAAAAUCAGUAAGAUUAGAAGGAAAUUGAAGCUUGUUUGUAUGCAUGGAUCAAGAAUUAUGAUCAUCUAAGUGUUCUUAUCAUCAAGAAUUAUGUCGAGACGGAAUCAAGCACGGAAGGCUAAUAGGUCAAGAAGUGGCGAGAAACGAGUAUGAACAUGGACGCACAAGGUUGUACGGAUAACGGGCGAUUAUCACAAGGAUUAGAGAUCGAAGACCGAGUCACAAGAUAGAUUGUACGGGAAUAAUUGAGUAUGUACUAUUAGUAAACAUGACUUAUGCUUUAUCUUUGUAAAAGAUACAUAUUAAAACGAACU